GACGAACGCUGGCGGCGUGCUUAACACAUGCAAGUCGAACGCUGAAGCUCAGCUUUUGUUGGGUGGAUGAGUGGCGAACGGGUGAGUAACACGUGAGUAACCUGCCCCCUUCUUUGGGAUAACGCCCGGAAACGGGUGCUAAUACUGGAUAUUCACUGGUCUUCGCAUGGGGGUUGGUGGAAAGGGUUUUUCUGGUGGGGGAUGGGCUCGCGGCCUAUCAGCUUGUUGGUGGGGUGAUGGCCUACCAAGGCGUUGACGGGUAGCCGGCCUGAGAGGGUGACCGGUCACAUUGGGACUGAGAUACGGCCCAGACUCCGACGGGAGGCAGCAGUGGGGAAUAUUGCACAAUGGGCGCAAGCCUGAUGCAGCGACGCCGCGUGAGGGAUGGAGGCCUUCGGGUUGUGAACCUCUUUCGCUCAUGGUCAAGCCGCAACAAUGGUUGUGGUGAGGGUAGUGGGUAAAGAAGCGCCGGCUAACUACGUG
rnacentral:rRNA from 1 species